CUAAGAAUAUUGCACAAUGGGGGAAACCCUGAUGCAGCGACGCCGCGUGAGCGAAGAAGUAUUUCGGUAUGUAAAGCUCUAUCAGCAGGGAAGAAAAUGACGGUACCUGACUAAGAAGCCCCGGCUAACUACGUGCCAGCAGCCGCGGUAAUACGUAGGGGGCGAGCGUUGUCCGGAAUUACUGGGCGUAAAGGGUGCGUAGGCGGUUUGGUAAGUUGGAUGUGAAAUACCCGGGCUUAACUUGGGGGCUGCAUCCAAUACUGUCGGACUUGAGUGCAGGAGAGGAAAGCGGAAUUCCUAGUGUAGCGGUGAAAUGCGUAGAUAUUAGGAGGAACACCGGUGGCGAAGGCGGCUUUCUGGACUGUAACUGACGCUGAGGCACGAAAGCGUGGGGAGCAAACAGGAUUAGAUACCCUGGUAGU
rnacentral:rRNA from 1 species